rnacentral:lncRNA from 1 species
AGUCUAGGUUGCAGGUAGAGGUUGCUAGCUCACUGAGUAACAUUAGGUUACUCACCCAAUUUCGUUGUCCUUUUCGCAGGCAGCCUUAGGUAAAGAUAAUCGGAUAGCUUGGUGUUGGACGUUAGGACCACCGGAGAAGAUUUCAUACCUUUUGUAAAUGGUAUAUAUUGAGAUUGUGUUUAGUUGACUCAAUUUGGAAUUAGGUCGGGCCCAGUCUUGAAUUAUUCAAUGUAUGAAUAUUUCCUAAAUCAAUAAAA